CACCUCAACAGAAUCUGGGAUCACCUUGGAGACAAGCCUCCAGGAGAAGACUGAGCACUCGUGAGAAGAACCACAAAGCCUAAUUGAUUAUGCCCUUCCAGAAGAGUUUCCCUUACCACCUGGUAUAGCAGUAAAUCUUUGGUACACAAAAAAGUGGGGAACCAUUAGGCUGGAAUUAGAGACAUCCUUCACCUCACUACGUUAAUGCUGAUCUUUGAGAUAUUACCACAGACUGGCUCUGACAAGGGAGUGCCAAGUGGCCAUCUUGAAGUAACAAAACUUUGCUCCAGCGUCCUGCUUCCAAAUCUGAUAUUUAGGAAGAUUGAAUUCAAUGACCUGAACAUUGAAUUAUUUUCAUCAAUACUGAAAUGUCAUAGUAUGGAAGAAAAAUAAAAGCAAAACAGAAAUAA